CACGGGGAGGUAGUGACGAAAAAUAACGAUACGGGACUCAUCCGAGGCCCCGUAAUCGGAAUGAGUACACUUUAAAACUUUUCCCGAGGAUCAAUUGGAGGGUAAGUCUGGUGCCAGCAGCCGCGGUAAUUCCAGCUCCAAUAGCGUAUAUUAAAGUUGUUGCGGUUAAAAAGCUCGUAGUCGAAUCUGUGUCCCGCGCCGCUGGUUCAUCGCUCGCGGUGUUUAACUGGCGUGUCUCGCGGGACGUCCUGCCGGUGGGCGCUCGUAUCGCUUCGGUGGUGCGUGGCCCAACUCGUAGCCGUCUCGCGCGGUUGCGAAUCCCAUCGCGGUGCUCUUUAUUGAGUGUCGAGGUGGGCCGGCACGUUUACUUUGAACAAAUUAGAGUGCUUAAAGCAGGCCAAUUUUGCCUGAAUAUUGUGUGCAUGGAAUAAUGAAAUAGGACCUCGGUUCUAUUUUGUUGGUUUUCGGAACCCCGAGGUAAUGAUUAAUAGGAACGGAUGGGGGCAUUCGUAUUGCGACGUUAGAGGUGAAAUUCUUGGAUCGUCGCAAGACGGACAGAAGCGAAAGCAUUUGCCAAAAACGCUUUCAUUGAUCAAGAACGAAAGUUAGAGGUUCGAAGGCGAUCAGAUACCGCCCUAGUUCUAACCAUAAACGAUGCCAGCUAGCGAUCCGCCGACGUUCCUCCGAUGACUCGGCGGGCAGCUUCCGGGAAACCAAAGCUUUUGGGUUCCGGGGGAAGUAUGGUUGCAAAGCUGAAACUUAAAGGAAUUGACGGAAGGGCACCACCAGGAGUGGAGCCUGCGGCUUAAUUUGACUCAACACGGGACACCUCACCAGGCCC
rnacentral:rRNA from 3 species